rnacentral:rRNA from 1 species
AGUGAACGCUGGCGGUAGGCCUAACACAUGCAAGUCGAACGGCAGCACAGUAAGAGCUUGCUCUUACGGGUGGCGAGUGGCGGACGGGUGAGGAAUACAUCGGAAUCUACUUUUUCGUGGGGGAUAACGUAGGGAAACUUACGCUAAUACCGCAUACGACCUACGGGUGAAAGCAGGGGAUCUUCGGACCUUGCGCGAUUGAAUGAGCCGAUGUCGGAUUAGCUAGUUGGCGGGGUAAAGGCCCACCAAGGCGACGAUCCGUAGCUGGUCUGAGAGGAUGAUCAGCCACACUGGAACUGAGACACGGUCCAGACUCCUACGGGAGGCAGCAGUGGGGAAUAUUGGACAAUGGGCGCAAGCCUGAUCCAGCCACACCGCGUGGGUGAAGAAGGCCUUCGGGUUGUAAAGCCCUUUUGUUGGGAAAAAAAAGCAGCAGGUUAAUACCCCGCUGUUCUGACGGUACCCAAAGAAUAAGCACCGGCUAACUUCGUG